AUUGAACGCUGGCGGCAUGCCUUACACAUGCAAGUCGAACGGCAGCGCGGUAGCAAUCCUGGCGGCGAGUGGCGAACGGGUGAGUAAUACAUCGGAACGUGCCCAAUUGUGGGGUAUAACGCAGCGAAAGCUGUGCUAAUACCGCAUACGAUCUACGGAUGAAAGCAGGGGAUCGCAAGACCUUGCGCGAAUGGAGCGGCCGAUGGCAGAUUAGGUAGUUGGUGAGGUAAAGGCUCACCAAGCCAUCGAUCUGUAGCUGGUCUGAGAGGAUGACCAGCCACACUGGGACUGAGACACGGCCCAGACUCCUACGGGAGGCAGCAGUGGGGAAUUUUGGACAAUGGGCGAAAGCCUGAUCCAGCCAUGCCGCGUGCAGGAUGAAGGCCUUCGGGUUGUAAACUGCUUUUGUACGGAACGAAACGGUCUUUUCUAAUAAAGAAGGCUAAUGACGGUACCGUAAGAAUAAGCACCGGCUAACUACGUG
rnacentral:rRNA from 1 species